CAUUUCACUGAUCAUGAGAUCACUUCUUUUCCUUCUUGAUCUCCCUCUUGAUCUUGACACUCAUCAACUUUUCCACCGGCUUGACCUCCACCUUCUGUCCAUUGACAGAUACACCAUCAUCAAUCUUAACACCUUCACCUUUGAUCACACCAUCCUUAACAUCUCCAGCACCAUGUUCAUCAUCCUUCUUUCCAGACUCAACCUCAAAUCUAAACUCUGGUGAGGACUUAACCAAGUCCACAGGCUGAAUACAAACCUUCUUAGAACUUGAGGCUUGAUCAGU
rnacentral:lncRNA from 1 species